rnacentral:rRNA from 1 species
GAACGCUGGCGGCGUGCCUAAUACAUGCAAGUCGAGCGAACAGAUAAGGAGCUUGCUCCUUUGACGUUAGCGGCGGACGGGUGAGUAACACGUGGGUAACCUACCUAUAAGACUGGGAUAACUUCGGGAAACCGGAGCUAAUACCGGAUAACAUUUGGAACCGCAUGGUUCUAAAGUGAAAGAUGGUUUUGCUAUCACUUAUAGAUGGACCCGCGCCGUAUUAGCUAGUUGGUAAGGUAACGGCUUACCAAGGCAACGAUACGUAGCCGACCUGAGAGGGUGAUCGGCCACACUGGAACUGAGACACGGUCCAGACUCCUACGGGAGGCAGCAGUAGGGAAUCUUCCGCAAUGGGCGAAAGCCUGACGGAGCAACGCCGCGUGAGUGAUGAAGGGUUUCGGCUCGUAAAACUCUGUUAUUAGGGAAGAACAAAUGUGUAAGUAACUGUGCACGUCUUGACGGUACCUAAUCAGAAAGCCACGGCUAACUACGUG